AAACGGACCUGGAAAUGCCGAGAUGUCCCAGGAAGUCUGGAGCUGAUGGAGCCCGUGUCCAUCUCACCAAGACCUUAAAUAUAAUGCAGAGUCCCUGCUGCAAAUCCAUUCCCAUCCGUGCUUUGAGACGGAAGGAGGGAAAUUGCAGCUAUUUACAGCAACCACCAUCUGAGCAAGGACUGAUUCAUGCAGUACCUCGGGGAAGCUAGGUUGGAAACCCUUGUCAACAUGCAGUCAAGUCUAUGGUUAGAACUGGCCAGUGUGCGCCCUGCAUCUGCGGGAGGGUCCGGGGGCCAUUUGGAAUUUGGUUUUUUUUUUGUUUGUCUGUUGUUUGUUUAUUUGUUUUUUAGCCCUCUCUCUAAGGGCUAAGGAUUCCAUCGAGGUAAGGAAUGGGCGGGAGUGAGUCCUAAGCGGGCGCUCCCGGAAGAGCGGCUGCGAGCAGCGGGGCCGCAGUUCGGCGGUAUGGAUCCUACCCCUGCCCGCCCCGAGCCGACCCGGGCUUGAUGAAGUCCCGGGCAGCCCGCGAGGCUGCAGUGUGUCACGCACCAGCUCCCGGCGGCGUCCUCUUCCCCGCCGCGCGCAGUAAUGGAUCUCUGCGUCCUAAAAGAGGAAGAUAAUGCCGGUGUUAGCUUAUAAAUAGAUGGUUGCAUGCUCUCCCUGCGAAGCAUUGAUUGAGGCCGCUAAGCUGACUAUUGAUCUAAUUUUAACUUACAUGUUCGCACGCACCCUCCCCGCCUCCCUGUCGCGGCUUGGUGGAGCGCGGGGCACGCUGUCUCUCGCGGCCGCCAGAGGGCGGGCCACUGGUCCUCCCGCCACCCUGCCCGUCUGGCCUCUCUGUUUACGCAGACGUACAAUGCUGGCCUUUAUUGGGUUUGAAAAAUAGGAGUUUGAUUUUCCUGCACCGGGAUGACCUCAUCACUCAUGAAAGUCGGAGGAAAGCGGGGAAUCGGAUGACAGGCAGCCGGGAAAAUAAAGCUUGCAUUUCACCUCCUCCCACUCCACCACCUACACAGAGUACUCGGGAUGUGCUUCUCAUUUUAAAACCACCUUGCCGAAGCCGGGAAGUGGGAGACGGCGGUAGGAGUGGAAUGUUAAAUUCUUCUUGGUACUCUGGCACUCGGUGUGCAGCGGCUUCUGUUUAGAAGGUUAAUGUCACCUACUCUCUGCCUACAGAGCCUCUUGUAAGGGCGCUCUCCUGAACUGUCACUAAAUGGCAAUGCAACAACAUUAUCUAGGAGUGACUUGACUAACAUAUUACUAAUUAUUUCUAGACAUAAUUCAUCUUGCCAAAGUUUAAGCAAUGGUCAUCAGCAAUUUUAUACUGCUGGCUUGUAAAUUUCAAAUCUGCUUAUGACUUCAAAUUAUUAAGGUAGGGAAUUACAGUCUAUCAUAGUUUUGCUUGCCGCCUUUUGGGACCACAGCACAUCAGGAUGGGGGUAUAGGGUAAAGUAAAUGAGAGGGAAAGGGAGACAGAAGACAAAGAAAGAUGCCUUCCCUGAAAUUCUCCAGCCCUAGAACUCAGCACGUGAACAAACUUUCCUCUGGGAUUCAGUGAAACAUAUUAAUAGGAGUCAAUGUUUAUCAGGCACUUGCUAUGUCCCAGGCAUUGUACUAACCGUUUUAUAUUUGUUACUUCAUUAAAUCCUCAAGACAACCUAUUGGUUAGAUUAUAUUAUUAUCCAUAUUUUAGAGUUGAAAAAAACUGAGGCAAGUUAGUUGCACAAAGUCGAUUAGCUAGAAAGGGACAAAACCAAGAUUCAAACCUCAGUAGAGACUGACCCAGAGCCUUGCUCCACAUCACCAUGUCGAGUGUCUUGACGACAUACCUCCCUUGGCAAAGUCUUAAACUCUCUGCAUCUCUAAGCAAAGGAGGGUGCGUGUGAAGAGAGAUGGCCACUUUCAAAUAAGGCCUAUCUAGGCUGAAAUGGAAAAGCUCUUCAUAGGGAGAGCUCUUGCAAAAGUGAAAAACGUACAAAGAAAUGAUCAUCCUCAGUGUUGCUCCUGAUAAUAGCUUAUAGGAUGGAAAUAAACCAGAAGAAGGAAACUUCCAUUAAGGGGACCUCACCUGGCUAUUCAUUCCACAAACAUUUGCAUACAGUGGACUGGCCAUUGUGGUUGGCACUGAAUUAUGGUAAUGAAGAAGACAGAAGUGCUCUAUCCCCUCAUGGAACCUCGUGAGAGAAAGGGGUUAUAACUAAGUGAACAAUCAAACACAUAAUUGUAAUUUGUGAUGAUUACAAAGGGGCCUGGUAUACUUCGGAGGAGGGAGUCAAGAAAGCCUGUCCGAGGAAAUGCCAUUUACACAGACAGAUACAGCAUGAGUAAGGGUUAGCCGGGUCCAGGAUGGGCCUGGGCAUAAUAUGGAGAGAUAUGAGGAAGCCUUGAGGAGGAAAUGGUGUUGGGGAAUGAGUGGGAGAGGAAGCUGGAGAGCUCACGUGGGAUCUGAUAAACCAGAGUAAAGAUUGGUGACAUCAUGUUAAAUGCAAUGGGAAUACCCCCUUAAGAGAUUCAAGAAUGAGAAUAAAGCGAUCCAAAUUGUAUUUUAGAAAGAUUGCUUUGUUUGCAGUGGGGAGAAUGGAUAGGAGGUAGGAUGAGGGAGUGAGUGUGGAGAGACUUCAGGAAGUUUGUGCACUAGCUCAGUGAGGAUUGAUAAAGGUUUGGACAAGGCCUGCCAUAGUGGAAAUUGAGAGAAGUGGAUAAGCUAUUUGCAGUUUGGUGAUGGAUUGGACAGGAUGACUGAUGGACAGAGCAAGGUCAAGGAUCUCUCCCAGUUUCUGGCUUGAGGCACUGGAUUGAAUGAGGCAUCAUUUACUAAUCCAGAUGACAUGAAAAGAGGAGCAAGCUCCAGAGGCAGACUAGGAGAUGAGGAGACACACAGAUGAAUGGCGGAAAGGUGAGGCAGAGAAAGAGAGAAGAGAAGGAGCAUCUGAAGGCUGAGAGGAGUUUGGCUGGGGACAGUCAGAGAGGAGUUUGGCAACUGGAUGGCCAAAAUCCAGGGUAAGAUCAUCUUCCCAUUCCCUUGCCACUUUCAGCUCCCCAUCCAUCCUGCUGAGAGCCACCUCUACCACUCAAUAAAACCCCUGCAUUCAUCCUUCAAGUCUGUGUGUGACCCAAUUCUUUUGGGAUGCCUGGGUACCAAGGGGCCAAUGAGCUGGUUAACACUUAAGCCAUCUGUGGAUGGCAGAGCUAAAACAGCAUUGUAACACUAGGGUUGCAGGCACCCACCCCUAGACGCUGCUGUGGGGCCAGAGCCCAAAAGUGCUCGCCCCAAUUCCUGCACCUGCCUGUCUGCAUACUCCCCCUC
rnacentral:lncRNA from 1 species